rnacentral:rRNA from 1 species
GAUGAACGCUGACAGAAUGCUUAACACAUGCAAGUCUACUUGAACUUCGGUUUGGGUGGCGGACGGGUGAGUAACGCGUAAAGAACUUGCCUCACAGUUAGGGACAACAUUUGGAAACGAAUGCUAAUACCUGAUAUUAUGAUUUUAGGGCAUCCUAGGAUUAUGAAAGCUAUAUGUGCUGUGAGAGAGCUUUGCGUCCCAUUAGCUAGUUGGAGAGGUAACGGCUCACCAAGGCGAGGAUGGGUAGCCGGCCUGAGAGGGUGAACGGCCACAAGGGGACUGAGACACGGCCCUUACUCCUACGGGAGGCAGCAGUGGGGAAUAUUGGACAAUGGACCAAAAGUCUGAUCCAGCAAUUCUGUGUGCACGAUGACGUUUUUCGGAAUGUAAAGUGCUUUCAGUUGGGAAGAAAAAAAUGACGGUACCAACAGAAGAAGUGACGGCUAAAUACGUG